AUGGGAACGCGAAGAACCUUACCUAGACUUGACAUCUCCUGAAUAGUGUAGAGAUACAUGAAGCCCUUCGGGGCAGGAAGACAGGUGGUGCAUGGUUGUCGUCAGCUCGUGUCGUGAGAUGUUGGGUUAAGUCCCGCAACGAGCGCAACCCUUAUUACUAGUUGCUACCAUUAAGUUGAGCACUCUAGUGAGACUGCCCGGGUUAACCGGGAGGAAGGCGGGGAUGACGUCAAAUCAUCAUGCCCCUUAUGUCUAGGGCAACACACGUGCUACAAUGGUGAGUACAGAUAGAUGCGAUACCGCAAGGUGGAGCCAAACUCUAAAACUCAUCCCAGUUCGGAUUGUAGGCUGCAACUCGCCUACAUGAAGUUGGAGUUGCUAGUAAUCGCGAAUCAGAAUGCUACGGUGAAUACGUUCCCGGGUCUUGUAC
rnacentral:rRNA from 1 species